CCUAUCUUCACUGUGCGCUCAUUGGUUGAUCCUGAAUCACAUGAUUCUCACAACCAUAUAAGUACAAGGGAUGAUCACCCUACUGCCUCUUGUUGGAUUCAUCCGCAACGCCGAGGUCGCCUGGCGAUGGACGACCAGGUCUCCGCCGCUUGCGGUUUCACGACCACGUUUCUCGCCGCCGGGCGGGUUUUGUGCCCGAGGAGCACGCAGUGUUGCAGCCUAGACUCCGGAUUACCAGUGGGAGGAAGACAACUUCGGAGGUUCGGCUGUGCAGCAAGUAACGGCGGGGCGAGGGAUCCAGAAGCUCCGGCGGACCUUGGGCAGACCCUCUCCACGCAUCGAAAGGACGGAAGAGUCCUAGUGUUCUACCUAGUGGGGUCAAAUUUCAGGACGGUGGAUAUACGGCAGCACACAGGGAGGCAGCAUAGACUCCAGUUUGACGGAGGAAGACAAUUUCUGAGGUUCAGCUGUACAGCAAGUAACGGCGGGGCGAUGGAAC